AUUGAACGCUGGCGGCAGGCCUAACACAUGCAAGUCGAGCGAGCGGCGGACGGGUGAGUAAUGUCUGGGAAACUGCCUGAUGGAGGGGGAUAACUACUGGAAACGGUAGCUAAUACCGCAUACCAUCAGAUGUGCCCAGAUGGGAUUAGCUAGUGGGUGGGGUAACGGCUCACCUAGGCGACGAUCCCUAGCUGGUCUGAGAGGAUGACAAGCCACCCUGGAACGGAGACACGGUCCAGACUACUACGGGAGGCAGCAUUGGGGAGUAUUGCACAAUGGGAGCAAGCCUGAUGCAGCCAUGCCGCGUGUGGGAAAGAGGCCUUCGGGUUGUAAAGCACUUUCAGCGGGGAGGCGUUACCCGCAGAAGAAGCACCGGCUAACUCCGUGCCAGCAGCCGCGGUAAUUC
rnacentral:rRNA from 1 species